rnacentral:rRNA from 1 species
CUCGUCAGACGAACGCGGCGGCGUGCCUAAUACAUGCAAGUCGAACGCGUCUUGGUUAUUGAUGUUAAGAUGCUUGCAUUUAACUGAUUUAACAUUGAGACGAGUGGCGAACUGGUGAGUAACACGUGGGUAACCUGCCCUUGAAGUAGGGGAUAACACUUGGAAACAGGUGCUAAUACCGUAUAACAACCAAAACCACCUGGUUUUGGUUUAAAAGAUGGCUUCGGCUAUCACUUUAGGAUGGACCCGCGGCGUAUUAGCUUGUUGGUAAGGUAACGGCCUACCAAGGCAAUGAUACGUAGCCGACCUGAGAGGGUAAUCGGCCACAUUGGGACUGAGACACGGCCCAAACUCCUACGGGAGGCAGCAGUAGGGAAUCUUCCACAAUGGACGAAAGUCUGAUGGAGCAACGCCGCGUGAGUGAUGAAGGGUUUCGGCUCGUAAAACUCUGUUGUUGGAGAAGAACAGGUGUGAGAGUAACUGUUCACAUCUUGACGGUAUCCAACCAGAAAGCCACGGCUAACUACGUGCCAGCAGCCGCGGUAAUACGUAGGUGGCAAGCGUUGUCCGGAUUUAUUGGGCGUAAAGCGAGCGCAGGCGGUUUCUUAGGUCUGAUGUGAAAGCCUUCGGCUUAACCGGAGAAGUGCAUCGGAAACCAGGAGACUUGAGUGCAGAAGAGGACAGUGGAACUCCAUGUGUAGCGGUGAAAUGCGUAGAUAUAUGGAAGAACACCAGUGGCGAAGGCGGCUGUCUGGUCUGUAACUGACGCUGAGGCUCGAAAGCAUGGGUAGCGAACAGGAUUAGAUACCCUGGUAGUCCAUGCCGUAAACGAUGAGUGCUAAGUGUUGGAGGGUUUCCGCCCUUCAGUGCUGCAGCUAACGCAUUAAGCACUCCGCCUGGGGAGUACGACCGCAAGGUUGAAACUCAAAGGAAUUGACGGGGGCCCGCACAAGCGGUGGAGCAUGUGGUUUAAUUCGAUGCUACGCGAAGAACCUUACCAGGUCUUGACAUCUUCUGCCAACCUAAGAGAUUAGGCGUUCCCUUCGGGGACAGAAUGACAGGUGGUGCAUGGUUGUCGUCAGCUCGUGUCGUGAGAUGUUGGGUUAAGUCCCGCAACGAGCGCAACCCUUAUGGUUAGUUGCCAGCAUUCAGUUGGGCACUCUAGCAAGACUGCCGUGACAACCGGAGGAAGGUGGGGAUGACGUCAAUCAUCAGGCCCUUAUGACUGGGCUACCACGUGCUACAUGGACGG